rnacentral:rRNA from 1 species
GUUUGAUCAUGGCUCAGGACGAACGCUGGCGGCGUGCUUAACACAUGCAAGUCGAGCGAUGAAGCCCCUUCGGGGGUGGAUUAGCGGCGGACGGGUGAGUAACACGUGGGUAACCUGCCUCAAAGAGGGGGAUAGCCUCCCGAAAGGGAGAUUAAUACCGCAUAAAGCAGAAUUCCACAUGGAGUUUUGAUGAAAGGAGUAAUCCGCUUUGAGAUGGACCCGCGGCGCAUUAGCUAGUUGGUGGGGUAACGGCCUACCAAGGCAACGAUGCGUAGCCGACCUGAGAGGGUGAUCGGCCACAUUGGAACUGAGAGACGGUCCAGACUCCUACGGGAGGCAGCAGUGGGGAAUAUUGCACAAUGGGCGAAAGCCUGAUGCAGCAACGCCGCGUGAGUGAUGAAGGUCUUCGGAUUGUAAAGCUCUGUCUUCUGGGACGACAAUGACGGUACCAGAGGAGGAAGCCACGGCUAACUACGUGCCAGCAGCCGCGGUAAUACGUAGGUGGCAAGCGUUGUCCGGAUUUACUGGGCGUAAAGGGUGCGCAGGCGGAUAUUUGAGUGGGAUGUGAAAUCCCCGGGCUUAACCUGGGGGCUGCAUUCCAAACUGGAUAUCUAGAGUGCAGGAGAGGAGAAUGGAAUUCCUAGUGUAGCGGUGAAAUGCGUAGAGAUUAGGAAGAACACCAGUGGCGAAGGCGAUUCUCUGGACUGUAACUGACGCUGAGGCAUGAAAGCGUGGGGAGCAAACAGGAUUAGAUACCCUGGUAGUCCACGCCGUAAACGAUGAGUACUAGGUGUAGGAGGUAUCGACUCCUUCUGUGCCGCAGUUAACACAAUAAGUACUCCGCCUGGGAAGUACGGUCGCAAGAUUAAAACUCAAAAGGAAUUGACGGGGGGCCCGCACAAGCAGCGG